GACGUAGGGCGCGAGCGUGUCCGGAUUUAUUGGGCGUAAAGAGCUCGUAGGCGGCUUGUCGCGUCGAAUGUGAAAUCUCGGGGCUCAACUCCGAGCUUGCAUUCGAUACGGGCAGGCUAGAGUUCGGUAGGGGAGACUGGAAUUCCUGGUGUAGCGGUGAAAUGCGCAGAUAUCAGGAGGAACACCGGUGGCGAAGGCGGGUCUCUGGGCCGAUACUGACGCUGAGGAGCGAAAGCGUGGGGAGCGAACAGG
rnacentral:rRNA from 1 species